rnacentral:lncRNA from 1 species
CUAACAUGAUCAUAAUUGCUUUAUGUAAAUACAGAUACUAAGAUGGUAAUGUUCUGUCCUUGUUUUUGCUGAAGACUGGAGACUGUAAGUACCCCAUACUGGGAGGAGUAGCCAGCCUGAGGAGGAUUUUCAGAGGGUGAUCUCAGACGAGGGACGAGGGAUGUAGCUGACAGUAGCUGAUAUCAGCCUCCAGACAGUACCAGAAGGAUGCAGAAGCAGCACUGGGAAGGACUCUGGUUUGAGGCUCUGCACAGUCCCUCUCCCCUCACCUCCCACUUGCUGAUGCCCAGCUGAGGUCUUCUCAGGCAACCGGACCUCACACAAGUGCUGUGUGUGACACUUAGCAGAACUGGCAGGUGUGGAUUGAGAACAUGCAUAAUUUUGGUGCUCAUAUAAUGUGAAGAAAUUGAGCUUGGACUUUUUAGUUGCAUAUGCAAGUGUGUGUUCAAUAUAUCAAGUUAGAAGUCACCUAAAAAAAGAAAAUCUGAACUAGUCCCAGCUGGAAGAAACAGAAGAGGUUGUGUAAUAUCGUCUUCAUCAUAAGAAAUAAAUAUUUGGUCUUUGGCCCUAUUUCUGGCACAGAACUCCUACCAACCUUGGAAUUUCCUAAGUGAUUAGAGUGAUACAGUUGUCUUUAAUUAUGUUAAUGAGGUGUCUUUUGGAAGCACCUAAGGAGGGAGGAAACCAAC